GGUGAAGGUAUGGGUUAAGAGGCCAUUGACGGCAAUGCCUAGGAAAGGAAGCUGACCAGGUUGGAGAAUCUUUUUCCUUCCUCUUUGUAUCUGAACAAGGACUGGAGGGGCUCCUUGAGAUGCAGGUCCUAGGCACUAGGGUGAGCCAUACACAGGCUGUAUCUCAGUUUCUGUAUUGUAUGAGGCCUUGGUCCUAUCCAUCCCUGUUCAUAGAACAGCUGUCACUGCAGCGGUAACAUCAGGCCACACAGAGUCCAAAGGGCCUCCUGUGCUAAAAGGCUUCCUAACAGCCAGACAGGACUGUCUCUCAAGUGUUUCCACUUAACCUUGGAUGAGCCAGGCAAGGCCUCUUCAACUGCCUACCUGCCUACUGCACUCUUCUAAGGAAAGGCACAUUACUCCAGGCCAUAUUGUCCUCUUUCCAUUAGGGCUGCCCCUAAAGGCCAGUAGCCCUGGAAACUACACUAUCUUCACUUGGCAGCAGAGCUACAGGAUGGCAAAGCCCAUCUCAUUGUGGUACCAUACAGUGGGCACUAGAGAAAGGUCAUGGACACGCCCUGUUGGGAAGGCAUCACCAUGGAUGCAUACCCCUUUGUCUAAGUCUCAUUGGCCCAGAGACCCACAGUCUAACUCCCUCCACAGGGAGCUCCUCCUACUGUAGGUCCUGCGAGUGCUUUCUGCUUCCUAUUCUUUAGUUCUCAAUAACACCUGCCUCUGCCUCACCCACAGCUGUAUCCCUAGGACCAACCCUGGCACCCAGCACAUGCUCACCCACAGCUGUAUCCCUAGGACCAACCCUGGCACCCAGCACAUGCUCAACAAGCAUCAGGUGACAACAGGGACAACUGCACCUUUUACUGCACCACUCUAAACCCAGAUCAAGAAAGAAUUAACCACUGUGAGGAAGAGGGUGGAAAAAAGAGCCACAGUAGGUGGGGACCAGUGGAAAAGCUGCUGAGCUCUUGGGUGGGGCUCUGAUAGGUUAGUUAGUGGAAUAUGGUACACACAAGGUCAAGGUUAGGCAAAGAUGAGGUUCCUUUUGGGGGUGAUGAAAUGUUCUGGAAUCAGUGAUAAGGGCUACUAAACCCUGUAAGUACAAAUGUUCCUCAAGUGAAGAUGGGGUUAUAUCCUAAAAUACAAACUGCAAUUUGAAAAUAUCAUGAUUAUGAAUGUACUCCACACACCUAACCUAUGAAUACUGACUGGAGUUCGGCAAAACAGUAUACUGCAGAGGACAAACUGCUUCCUGUCAAGAUCACAAGGCUAACUGGGAACUGCCCAGCAUCAAAGGGUAUAAAGUGUGGUGUACACCUGUGAUCUCAGCAUUUGGGAGAUACAGGUAGGAUCAAUUUGUGGUUCGGCAGAGGGCUCAGUGGGUAAAAUGCUUGCCAAUCACCAGGAGGACUUGAGUUUGGAUCUCCAGCAUCCAUGUAAAGUCAGGCACAGUGGGAUCCUGUGCUGGAGUAGAUAGGCAAAUCCAGGGUCCUUGUAGGCCAGUCAGUCUAGCUAAGAUGGUGAGCUCCUGGUUCUGAGACUCUAUCUCAAAAAGGUAGAGGGAGCAGGCAAGAUGGCUUCUUAGCAGGUAAAACGACUUGCCAUCAAACCUGGCAACCUGAGAUCAAUUUCCAGAACUCGAAAGGUGGAAGGACAGGACCAGCGAGCACUGUUGUCCUCUGAUCUUCAUGUACAUACACAUGUCAUGGCAUGCAUGCGUGCAACAAUGGAAGACAUGGUGUCUGAAGUACAAAAGCGGUCCUAGCAGUUCAGAUAGCAAGUCAGUGUCUUACCCUAUGCAAUUGGUUGUCACUUUUCUUAGUUUCUGCUUGACCAGCUUUCCAGUACCCUUGUUGAGGCUCCCUUUGCCUGCUGACCCUUUCUGGCCUCCUGGUCUUCUUUAAGCUGUAUCAUGUUUGGCACAUGAUAUUAUCACCUGCACCCCCUUGGCCUCCUCCAGGAUGGUCAUGACAUCACUCACACAGAUGCCAUCCCCACUGCUCCCUCACUUCAGGUACUGAAACACUCCCUAGGCCCUGCCUGAGCUUCUGCCUUGCAUCAGAACUGAGCUGCAGGAGGCACUGAGCUGUUGGAGGGAGGGAGUCAGAGCCACCCUUGCUAUGACUGUGGACACAAGAAUGAACAAAGCUUUGCCAGAAGCUUAUCACGACUGUCCUUUCAUGCACUGGAAUUUGGGUCCUGGUUGCUCUUGGAAUGGGUUCUAUUUGCUGAGUUGUGGGAAAUGGAUCUGUAGUGGAUGGAAAACAUGGCCCUACAUACCCCUGUCAGAUGGCAGGAGCAAAAGUGGGCCCCAUGUCAGACCAAGAACCAGAGGAUCCUAGAUGGGUUUGGGUUGCAGGCCUAGGUCUCUGUUCCCUGAAGGGAGUCUCUGGCAGGUUCACUGCUCCAGGAUUAGAAGAGACAGAGGGAAGAGGGUGUCGUGGGGAAGCAGAUGGCAGUUAUAUGGAGUUUUAAAAGAGUUAAAAAAACAAACAAACAAAAAAACCCACCCCACCAGUCUCUGGUACUCCAUUUCACAAGUAAAUUACUGGUCAGGAAUGGUAAACUCCAAGAUCUCGAACUUGGAGUUGGGGGACAGUAUGGGGUAACUCAUCCAAACUAAACAGCAAAGCAAGAAUCAAGCCAAGAGUUCCACAGUAACUAAACAGAGUUUCCACAGGGGUACUCCUCCUCCAAGGUGUUACCAAGAGAACUGCAGGCAUGUGUUCACAGACACAUCUAUCUGAACAUUCACACUAGCCCAACAAUGGAAAGGCUCCUCUUCUGAUAAACAGAAUGUGGCACAUCCACUCCACAGAAUGACCUGGUCAUAAGAAGAAAUGAGGAAAGGGAGCCAUGGCUCAGUGGGUAAAAGCACUUGCUGUAGAAACAUAAGCUGUAGGACACAUCCGUAAUGCCCGUGCUCCUAGAGUGAGAUAGAGACGGACAAAGCCUGGCAUAAGCACUUAUCAGAAAUAACAGAGGCCUGGACUCAUAAGGCAGAAGUAGGAACUGAGUCCUCAAAGUCCUCCUUGAUAAUGGCAUGUGCACACAUCGUACACACAAAUAAAUAAGGACACUGGACUCUGUAGCAACAGGAAGAGGCUUAUAAACAUUUGCUAAGUCAAAGAAGGUGGACACAAAGUCUACAAACUACAAUGAAUACAUGAAAUAUCUACAAGAGACAGAUCUGAAAAGAUGAGGUGCAUUUGUGGUUGCCAGUAGUUAGGAGCGAGACUUCUAAUGGGUGCAGCUAGUUUCUUGGGGGGAAGAGUAGGGAGAUGAAGUGUCCUGAAAUUAGGCAGCAAUGAUGGUUGUGCAACCUUAUGAAAACAUCUAAAAACAGCUGAGGUUUGGUAUAUGCAAGAAAAGCAUUAAGAACUAAGGCAAAGUUUCAAACUGGUAACCUAACUCCCAUUCGGUGCUGCUUGCCCCAGUGCCCACGUGGUCAUUCUUUCCAAUGCCCUAUGGCCUGACAACUGAUUCAGAUUCAGGAGAGAUGAUGAUGAAGAGAAGACCACCCUGAUCUCCUAGAACUCUGCUUCUUCAAGUCAUAUAGUCCUUCUCAGAGCUAUCUGUGUAGGUGGACAGGGUGACACACCCUCUGGGCAACAAGUCCUGCAGGUCAAAUGCUCAAUGAGAAAGUAUGACCCAGCAAUGGUAAUUGGGGUAUGGCACACAUUACACCAGGUCAGCUCUUGUAAGAGCCCUGGCACCAGUACAGGCACACAGGACACUAGAUACCCAACAGGCACCUCUUUCCAGUUGGAGGGAGGAAGAUCCAGUAGCAUGCAAGAAGAAUGGCCUGCACAAGAUCAUGUCUCCCGGAGCAGCUCAAGAACCAGGCUAUAAGGACAAGGAGAUCAGAGGAGCAAGCUGUAGUUGCUCCUGGCUAGAACUAACACUCUCAAUCACCACUGGUGUCACCUUAUACUCUACACGAGGAAUCUGAGAUUUGGAUAGUCCCAGCCCAAUAUAAAAAGCGUCUGCUUCAUACUCAGCUCUGGUCCAGAAGGCUAAAUCUGCUAAUAAAACUACUCAGGGCUUUGUGGUCAGACAUUCCAGGUUUCCAACACCUACUCUACAUUAGUUAAUGUUGUCUAACACAGCUCUCUUCUUCCUAUCACCUACUGAGCAGCUCCCAUGGCUCUGCUUUGACUAUAGGAGACAUAGGGCUAGACAGGACAGGCUCUGCCAGAGCCACAGGCUAUAGGAUGCAAAAACAUUUACUUGAAAGAGAACCUUUGGGUUUUAGGAACCAGCAACUUGGUCUGAGGGAAGCCAGGAGCCUUUGGAAGUACUUGAUGGUGCGUCCACCAAGGUCGUGUUGCACGCAUGCACGCACGCACGCACACAGGUUGGGGUACACAUUUGAAGCAUUUUCUUAACUAGCAUAAGCUGCUUAUAGAUACAGAGAACAAGGCAAUCCAUUCUUGUGGUGGUUUAGCUCCACAGAGGGAUGUGGGGCGGGAGGGGUAUUUAGUCAGAAAUCAAGCUGGAAGUCCCAAGCUUAUGGCCCAUACUAAAGAACCUGGGUUCCAUUUAGCAGGUAAUAGCAUAUUCCUCUGUAUGUACAAAUGGAGGCUUGAUCAUGCAAGGCUGCCCUGAAGACUGUGAGACAAGCUGGUCCUCUGUGUCAAAGGGUUCAACUGUCAACUGAAAAUAUCAGGUGAUGUGCACCUAUACAGAACAUAUAAAGGCUUUUCCUUGUCUUAUUUUCUAAACAUUGAGGCAUAACAGUCAUUGCUGCAGCAUUUAAUUAUAUUAGGUAUAACAUGUCUCUGAGAGAUGACUGAAAGUGCAUGGGAUAAUAUAUGUAGGCUAUAUGCAAAUACUGGCCCAUUUUAUAGAAUCCAGAGGAUCCCUGGAGCAAUCCCCUAUGGGUACCAAAGAACAAGGGGACUUCGUAUGCACAAUCACAGAAAGCAAGCACAAAGAGUCCAACAUCCAUCCUUAUUAUAAGACUUUUAAUUCCAAUAUCAAGCUGCUAAUGGCCCUGGCUUGGUGAUGCGGUGGGAAUAAUGGCUCAUCCUGAGGGCUUUACAUGAGAAUGUGCAGCACCUGUCUCUGCAUUGAUGCCUCCUGCCCACUACUGGACAGGACAGCAGAGCCAGGAAGGCUGUACAUUUUGCAUUCAGAACUCUCUUAUUCUAGAAAGUCUAAUAUCAAAUGGCAAACGAAUGCAAAUUACACUUCAAUUGCACAAUUAAAGCCGGAAAUGUUGUCUACAGGUUCCUCUGGUGCUCCCAGCCACUCUUCCUGUGCUUACAAAGCAAAUGAUUUGUUUUCAGUCCUAGGGACUGGCAAAAAGCCCACACCCCUGCUUGUGGCACCAUACAUACACAGGUGCACACACAAUGAACUGACCCUUCCUGCUCCUUAAACAGUCAGACCAGAAUUGAACAAGGGAAGGGACUGCUUGAGUGGAGGGCAGGAAUGCUGUACGGUGGAUACUGGGGAGGUACUGUGGGGCUGUAGUGGCUCUCUGACAUUCAGAAGUGAUCAAAUCCCAUUGCUAGCUGUUUUUCAGCUGAUCCACAGUCCCAGCUUGGAUCCUGAGCCUUUGAAGCAGCAAUCAAAACAAAGAUCUGGCCCAGGGAGGAGAGCUAUUGCAGAGAAAGGUCUAGUCAACAGGGUAUUGAGAAAGAUGAGCAGAGACCUGGCUUUCAGUCUCUAUGCCCAGGUCACGACUGUGGUGCUCUACACUUCCCUGGAGACCCUGCAGUCCUUGGAGUGGGGGCAGGAAGCUAUGGGACGAAGAUCUCUGCUCAAGGAUCCCGCAAGGCCAGAAGGAAAUGCCCCAGAACCACAGACAUGUGGCCAGCCUUGCUCCAUCCCCAGAAACCCAGAUCCAGUUCUUCUGCCAAUGAACAGGCUGUCUGGGCCCCUGCCCGAGGCUGGCCUGGAGUCCUGGCUCCAAGGAUGGAGACUAGCUCAAAGAAAGCCGGAGGAAGCCACACCAAUUAGUAUGCACUACACAGCAUUUUUGCAAAAUGAAUAUAAAACACUUGUGCUUUCUUUCUGUGUGAGAGAAAGAAGAGGGGAGGGAGAGGGAGGUUACAAGAAAGCAAUAUUCUGCAGGAACAGGAGCUCCUGCUGUUACCAUGGCAGUGGGUGGGGGUAGGAGUGGGGAGGGCCCAUCAGCUGGUCCUUGAUUCUGGAGUGCAAUGUGCUUGCUGCCUUGACUCCCUGAUGGAGUUCAAGGGUCAAGGUUGAAGACAAUGAAUGCAGACAGAAUCUGCCAAGGUGUCUCUAAGGGAAGCCUCAGGAGUUGGGGGAAAAGAGCUUCAUAUUUCCCAUGGGGUAGACAGCAGAGAGGAGAAAACUAGGGGAUUCCUCAGAUCGUCCCCUUUGCUGGAGACAACUUUAUAGUGUCAACUGGCAUUAUGCAUAGGAUAAAUGUAGAUAAUGACAUCUGUCACACUCAUUUUCUAGCAACCAAGGACUGUGCUGCUAUCUUUCACUGGUCUAAUGGGCAUCCACUACCACACCUGCCCUCUCCCUUCCAUGGCACUGUGGCUGCAAGCACGGCAGGUUCAAGUCCUCACACAGGGAGCCUGUUCUUGCCUCCAACCAAUAGUCUGGCUCUGAAGGCCCAGACAAUCACUUAGCAGAUACUGAUCUGCAGCACGGGAAGACAAUAAAAGAUGCAUAGUUUGGAAUAGCUGCUGCCAACAGGAUGGAUGGACAAAUGUCCCACUUUAAAGUCCCACUGAGCUUUAGGAAGCACUAGGAAGCUCUAGGGUUACACAGCAAGUACUAGCUCAGGCUUUAGAUGUCAACUGGUGCAGCCAUCCAGCUCCUCUGAAGGGGAACCUUUUUUUCUUUCUAUUGUCAGGAAAUCCCCAGACUGUGCUCUCCUCAGAGCUGGCUAGGAGGAAGCUGCAAGAAUGUUCCCGAGAGGCGAGAGAGGGAUGCUGCUCCAGACGCUGGAAGCUGCACUCUAGUCAGUGUCAACCAAUGCCAAGGAACAUCUGAACGGCUGAUUGUAAUGCCUUGUAGGUGAUCUGGGUCAGGUCAGGCUGCCCCUCAUGCUGUGAAGCAAAUCUGACAGGAAGGGCAGAGGCACCGAGGUCUGACUUUCACAGGAUCCUUGGGUUUUCUACUUCUGCCCACAUAGAAACUAGCUCCUUUUGUUAUAAGGGUAUAGCUCAGUAGCCAGGCCUCCUCCAUCCCUGACCACAUAUAACUUGGCUCUUGCUGCCCUGGGGCUUGGGGAAUCAGCCAGAGAAUUCACCCUAGAAGCCAGAAUGAAGGCCAAGAGCAGUGGGAAAUGCACCCACAGUAGCUGGCACUCGGGCUGGAGGCCUCUGCCCUAGACACAAGGUAAACAGGAGCUGCAGAAGGCAGCAGGCAGGCUGGCAUUCUGAACAGAGCUGUGGUCUACAUGGCAUGAGAACCCUGCCUUCCGCAGCUAGAUGAGCAGUGCCCCAAGGAGAAAGGCCAGUCUUUGGUAGGUGAGGCAUUCUGUGCAGGAGUGAACACAUUUUCUUUCCAAUCAGAAGAGUACUCAGGUUGCUUUUUAGGGUUUUGCAAAGCAAAGUACCUUUUAGCUCUACACAGCUCACAGGUAAUGUUGGUUAACACAGCACAUGUCCUAGGGGAUUUAGGCAGGUCCCCUGCUCCCCUCCCCCCAAAAUGGACUUGGGAGACUUUUUUCUACGGGUUUAUACAAAGGCCCAGUACUUAAUGUCAGUUCCACCGACCAAUCAUGUAGACUAGUGUAGAUGAUGCUAGUGGUUGCCCCCUUUGGAGUACAGCCUAGGGUAGGAUCAACUGAGAGACUAGACUGUGUUCCCUACUCCUAACCCCAUAGGCUUUCCUUCCUGUGAUCCAGCCAUCCAUGCUUACUGACCUGAGUUCCCAGCUCUUAGAGUUGCCAAGUCCGAGUGCACAUGCAUACAUAUCCUUAGAGUUCUAUCACUAGGUGAUGAGCUCCUGAACUGUGGUAACCAGGAGACGGGAAGCUUUCCUGACUACCCCCCAGAGCUCUGCUUAAACAUGGCUUACUGAUAAGUGUCCCACAGCACCUGGCCUUAGCGAUGGGGACAGGGCUGGAUGGGACCAGCACACUGUGCCAACUUGGUUGUUUGCCUUUUUGUAAAAUACUUCUGAGCAUCAGUGCUCAGUUAGACAGACUUCUCUUAAAGCCCACACUAAGCUGCCAUUAUAAAGAGUGAUAAAGGCUGUGUGGGGAUGAAUAUAAAGACAGAUGAGUUCUGGCCCAGUUUUUUUUUUUUUAAAGAUUUAUUCAUUUAUUAUAUAUAAGUACACUGUAGCUGUCUUCAGAUACACCAGAAGAGGGCAUCUGAUCUCUUUACAGAUGGUUAUGAGCCACCACGUGGUUGCUGGGAAUUGAACUCAGGACCUCUGGAAGAGCAGUCAGUGCUCUUAACCACUGAGCCAUCUCUCCAGCCCCUGGCCCAGUUUUAAUGUACAGAAGAAGGUAUACUGGGGACAGAGACAGAAAGAUGGAGAGAGAGAGAAGGAAGGGACAUGGAGAGAGGAGAGGUCAGGUCAGGUCAUAAAUGGUCUUUCAGGAAGCCAUCUAGAGAUCUUGACUAAAUUCCUUAACUUCUCUGGGUUCUUUGGAAUUAGUUUCCUCUUGGGUGAAAUGGAAAAGCCCUGAGUCCUCUUGAGAGGUGCACGGAAGGAUGCAGAUGGGUGCUGGGUCCAGGGUCCAUGACAGAGUCAGUAAGAGGAGUGAACUGUCACCUGUGGGGAAUGGUCUCAUUCUGGCCUGAGUGUCUUGUGAAGCUGCAGGAAACUGCCACUGAGAUUUAGCUUUCCAGAGGAAAACUGCCACAGUCUGGAGGAACAUGUGACUUCUAAAGAUGCCAGGAGCAGUGCAUGGGCAUGGGGUGAGCACAGGUCAUCUCCAGACCACAUAGAAGAGGGUGUGGGGGCUGAGAGCUGGGGGUUCCAGUUUCCACAGAUCUCAUGCUGGUCCACAGGAGUAGCUCCCACUCAGACAUGUGCAUCAGAGUCUUCUGGGAUUUUGUGAAGAAAAAAAAAAUGUCAGGGGCUUGGGGAUUUAGCUCAGUGGUAGAGUGCUAGCCCUGGGUUCGGUCCUCAGCUCCAAAAAAAAAAAAAAAAAAAAAAAAAGGGAAAAAAAUGUCAGUGUCCAGGCAACAAGGCCUAGCUUGAGGGUACAGUUGAGGGGAUCUGGGGAAGGCCCAAGCAGAGGAUUCUAAUGGUGGCCUGGUUUGGAUGGUGCUGUAGGGCUUUGAUGCCAAAUGGUUGGACUCUGGCCUCUGAGGGUGAUCACUUUAAAGUUCAAGGAGAGAUGGGCACUGGGGGCCUGCAGCAUGGGCAGGUAGCUUACCCAGCAUUUAAACAACUCAGUUCCCUAUAAUAGGAGAAAGCUGAACCCAAUGGAGCCCUCAGUAUUAUGUCUUCUUGUUGCUAGCAGGUCCCACCUCUGCAAAAACAAGCCUGCUUUUUUGCUGCCCUUCUCAGCCCACCCUCCACCUUCCAUCAGGGGCCAGGCAGUGGCCUUCUUUUCCACUUCACUCAUGCUUGGCCUUCUGUCCCACAGAAGUAUCUAGACAUAAACAUGCCAACCCUCGUGGCCCACAAAACUGGCUUUGUGCAGUGGGAUGACUACAUGCUUCCUGUGGUUACUGUGGGUCCCCUUCAGUCUAGGGAGGCUAAUGGAGAGAAUGAGAAUGUGAAAUCUAGACUGAGAAGAAGCAGAGGCCCUCUAGACAGACACAACUGUUGUCUUAUCCUUGGCAAAGACUUGUUGACAAGGACUCAAUUUAAAAGUGCUACAAUGACCCUAGGUGGCCCACAGUGGCUUUGGGUACUUUCGCUGGGCUGUGGUGUUGGAACAGGGGUCCUGGCUGUCCCUAGGAAGAAGAUGCUGGGAUUGUCUUUUUGCUGGCUGUUGCCACUUGGGAGAAGAGGGAAGUAGGAAGCUACAGGGUUAGCUGUGGCAGAGCAGGGACACACAGCAUAUAGUGCUGUGGAUAAGGCCCCUGUGGCAUAGUGGGAGAGAACCCCAGGCCCUCCAUCUUCCCAUAUGUAACAGGCUCCUGGCUAUAAGAAUGAAGCUCUUGGCUACUGCCAUUAGCUUAGAGUUGUGGAUGGAGACUCUAACCGUACUUAGCAUUGUGGAUGGAGAUUCUAGUCUUACUGACGGUCCGAUUUUAAAGAAACCUAUGGACUUGAGGCAGAAGGAGGUAUUGUUUUUGUUUUGGAGAGUAGACAGAAUGAAAACUGGAGUGAAAUAAAAAGCGAGGCAAGGAACUGAAAAGGAAAAGAAGCCCUAUUCUUAGGGGAGACUCUGCUUUAGAGCACACAGCAUUAGUAUUCCAGGGCGUGGAGUCAGGACCACACAGUCAGAGCUGGAAAGAACCGUGGACAAUCCAGUCCAACUUCAGCAUCUUAGAGAAGAAAACUGGUCCUGUGGAGAGCUGGGUGGUAUGGGACCAGAGGCUUCCUGAACUCUGAGAUCCUUGUGAUCUCAGCCCUUGGCCUCGCUGUUUAGAAGACCAGAUGGAGGACAGAGAGGGCUUCUGGUCUGGACCUGGAGUGAAAGAGCUGCCGACUCCCUGUCCCAUCUGAGUUGUCAGAAGUAUGUGAGCUCCUGCACUGGCCAGGCCUCCCACCUGACUGGUGAGAAAUCUACCACAGGACCACAGUGCUGCGUUCCCAGGUGUUUACUGCUCGGGCUCUGGCACAGCUGUAACCUGACACUCAACACAGGUCCAGCAAGGCAGCACAUUUUCUCUCCUGCCAGCCGAACCCACAGGAGGAGGCCCUGUGACCUGGUGUAAGGCUGUCUGCUAUUCCAUCAAGGGGUGAGCAAGCACACGCUAUGGCUAUGUGGUUCUCUUGCUCCAAACGUAGGCCCCAGACUCCACUCUGUCACCUUUAGACAUCUGCACAGGAUGUGCAUCCAUUUACUCUCUGACUAACUGAAAAGGAGGACAUCCCUCCGAGAUGGUCAGACACUGAGGCAGAGGUCAAGGAGAUAAGAACAGCAGGGCUUUCAAGGCAAAUUCUAUCUUCAAUCAGCAUAAAAAAUGGUUUUACCUCACAAACAAGCAAGGAAAUAAUGUCAAAAAGCAUUUGAAGGACUGUUUAAAGGCAAUGACUUGUGCAGUAGAAAUCUCCAGUAUGUAAUAAACUAGCAUUUUCUUGACUGUC